GUCAACAACCCAGCGCUGACCGAUACGAGCGGUACAGCGUGGGCUUGAGAAAUAAUUCUUAAGCCCUGUUGAUUAGCCUUAGCAGCUCGUUAAUAGUAAGAGCUGCUCCGUUUAUCGAGAAUAUAUAGGCAUCGUGGGGUGCAGGAUUGACGCUUCGGCUCCGCUCAGCGUCAACUAUCCGUUUCCUAGCUCCACGCUCUGCGGUUUUUCAUUAAACAUUCCUGUUGGGUAGGGAAAGUAUGGAAACAUCAAAACCUUGAUAAACAUUGGCGAAGGAAACCACAC
ncrna:Microcoleus chthonoplastes PCC 7420 HNH endonuclease-associated RNA and ORF (HEARO) RNA